rnacentral:rRNA from 1 species
GAUGAACGCUAGCGGCAGGCCUAAUACAUGCAAGUCGAACGAUACCAGAGAGCUUGCUUUCUGGGAAAGUGGCGCACGGGUGCGUAACGCGUAUGCAGCCUACCUUAAUCAGGGGGAUAGCCUCUCGAAAGAGAGAUUAACACCGCAUAACAUCAUUUUACGGCAUCGUAGAAUGAUCAAAUAUUUAUAGGAUUAAGAUGGGCAUGCGUGACAUUAGCUAGUUGGUGAGGUAACGGCUCACCAAGGCUACGAUGUCUAGGGGAUCUGAGAGGAUGACCCCCCACACUGGUACUGAGACACGGACCAGACUCCUACGGGAGGCAGCAGUAAGGAAUAUUGGUCAAUGGAGGCAACUCUGAACCAGCCAUGCCGCGUGCAGGAAGACGGCCCUAUGGGUUGUAAACUGCUUUUAUACGGGAAUAAACCUCUCUACGUGUAGGGCGUUGAAUGUACUGUAAGAAUAAGGAUCGGCUAACUCCGUGCCAGCCGCCGCCGUAA